GGCGCUAUAGCCAAGUGGUUACGGCGACAGAUUAGAAUAACAUCUCAAACGAAAUUUCCAAUCUGUUCCUCUUUGAGGGCGCAGGUUCGAAUCCUGCUGGCGUCG
rnacentral:tRNA from 1 species